GACGAACGCUGGCGGCGUGCUUAACACAUGCAAGUCGAACGGAAAGGCCCUGCUUUUGUGGGGUGCUCGAGUGGCGAACGGGUGAGUAACACGUGAGUAACCUGCCCUUGACUUUGGGAUAACUUCAGGAAACUGGGGCUAAUACCGGAUAGGAGCUCCUGCUGCAUGGUGGGGGUUGGAAAGUUUCGGCGGUUGGGGAUGGACUCGCGGCUUAUCAGCUUGUUGGUGGGGUAGUGGCUUACCAAGGCUUUGACGGGUAGGCGGCCUGAGAGGGUGACCGGCCACAUUGGGACUACGAUACGGCGCAGAAUCCUACGGGAGGCAGCAGUGGGGAGUAUUGCACAGUGGGGGGAAGCCUGAUGCAGCAACGCCGCGUGCGGGAUGACGGCCUUCGGGGUGUAAACCGCUUUCGCCUGUGCCGAAGCGGGAGUGACGGUAAUGGGUAAAGAAGCACCGGCUAACUACGUG
rnacentral:rRNA from 1 species